CCUACGGGAGGCUGCAGUGAGGAAUAUUGGUCAAUGGGCGCUAGCCUGAACCAGCCAAGUAGCGUGAAGGAUGACGGCCCUAUGGGUUGUAAACUCCUUUUAUAGGGGAAUAAAGUGCAGUAUGUAUACUGCUUUGCACGUACCUCAUGAAUAAGGAACGGCUAACGCUGUGCAAGCAGCCGCGGUAAUACGGAGGUUCAAAGCGUUAUCCGGAUUUAUUGGGUUUAAAGGGAGCGUAGUCGGGUUGGUAAGUCAGUUGUGAAAGGUUGCGGCUCAACCGUAAGAUUGCAGUUGAAACGGGCAUACGUGAGUACAGUAGAGGUAGGCGGAAUUCGUGGUGUAGCGGUGAAAUGCUUAGAUAUCACGAAGAACUCCGAUUGCGAAGGCAGCCUGCUGGACUGUAACUGACGCUGAUGCUCGAAAGUGUGGGUAUCAAACAGGAUUAGAUACCCGUGUAGUC
rnacentral:rRNA from 1 species